GAUGAAGAACGCAGCGAAAUGCGAUAAGUAGUGUGAAUUGCAGAAUUCAGUGAAUCAUCGAAUCUUUGAACGCACAUUGCGCCCCUUGGUAUCCCGAGGGGCAUGCCUGUUCGAGCGUCAUUUCACCACUCAAGCCUGGCUUGGUGUUGGGCGACGUCCCCUUUGGGGACGCGCCUCGAAACGCUCGGCGGCGUGGCACCGGCUUUGAGCGUAGCAGAAUCUUUCGCUUUGGAAGUCGGGGCCCCGUCUGCCGGAAGACCUACUCGCAAGGUUGACCUCGGAUCAGGCAGGGAUACCCGCUGAACUUAAGCAUAUCAAUAAGCGGAGGA
rnacentral:misc_RNA from 1 species